AACGUAGGGUGCAAGCGUUAUCCGGAUUCACUGGGUGUAAAGCGCGUGCAGGUGGCCUCGUAAGUUGGACGUGAAAUCUUCUGGCUUAACUGGGAGAGGCCGUUCAAUACUGCGGGGCUAGAGGGCAGGAGAGGGAGGUGGAAUUCCCGGUGUAGUGGUGAAAUGCGUAGAUAUCGGGAGGAACACCAGUGGCGAAGGCGGCCUCCUGGCCUGCUCCUGACGCUCAGACGCGAAAGCUAGGGGAGCGAACGGG
rnacentral:rRNA from 1 species